UACGUAGGGGGCAAGCGUUAUCCGGAAUCAUUGGGCGUAAAGCGCGUGUAGGCGGUUCCGUAAGUCCGCUCUGAAAGCCCAGGGCUCAACCCUGGGAGGCGGGUGGAUACUACGGAACUGGAGUACGGAAGAGGAGAUUGGAAUUCCUGGUGUAGCGGUGAAAUGCGCAGAUAUCAGGAGGAACACCAACAGCGAAGGCAGAUCUCUGGGACGUUACUGACGCUGGAGACGCGAAAAGCGUGGGGGAGCAAACAGG
rnacentral:rRNA from 1 species